AUUGAACGCUGGCGGCAUGCCUUACACAUGCAAGUCGAACGGUAACAGGUCUUCGGAUGCUGACGAGUGGCGAACGGGUGAGUAAUACAUCGGAACGUGCCUAGUAGUGGGGGAUAACUACUCGAAAGAGUGGCUAAUACCGCAUGAGAUCUACGGAUGAAAGCAGGGGAUCGCAAGACCUUGUGCUACUAGAGCGGCCGAUGGCAGAUUAGGUGGUUGGUGGGAUAAAAGCUUACCAAGCCGACGAUCUGUAGCUGGUCUGAGAGGACUAUCAGCCACACUGGGACUGAGACACGGCCCAGACUCCUACGGGAGGCAGCAGUGGGGAAUUUUGGACAAUGGGCGCAAGCCUGAUCCAGCAAUGCCGCGUGCAGGAUGAAGGCCUUCGGGUUGUAAACUGCUUUUGUACGGAACGAAAAGCCCCGGGUUAAUACCCUGGGGUCAUGACGGUACCGUAAGAAUAAGCACCGGCUAACUACGUGCCAGCAGCCGCCGCAG
rnacentral:rRNA from 1 species